rnacentral:rRNA from 1 species
GUGGUCAAGAGAAGAAGGGCUCAUGGUGGAUACCUAGGCACACAGAGGCGAAGAAGGACGUGGUUACCAACGAAAAGCUCCGGGGAGCAGGAAGCAUGCAGUGAGCCGGAGAUGUCCGAAUGGGGCAACCCAAUAACGAAAGAGCGAACCCAGUGAAUUGAAACAUCUUAGUAGCUGGAGGAAAAGAAAUCAAUAGAGAUUCCCUCAGUAGUGGUGAGCGAAAGGGGAAGAGCCUAAACCAAAGUGCAUGCAUUUUGGGGUAGUGGGACAGCGAAAUCGAAUCUAGCGGUUAGGCGAAGCAGCGAAAUACUGCACCAAAGAAGGUGAAAGUCCUGUAGUCGAAAGCUUAAGGAUAGUAGCUGAAUCCCGAGUAGCAUGGGGCACGAGGAAUCCCAUGUGAAUCAGCGAGGACCAUCUCGUAAGGCUAAAUACUACUGUGUGACCGAUAGCGAACAAGUACCGCGAGGGAAAGGUGAAAAGAACCCCGUUGAGGGGAGUGAAAUAGAACAUGAAACCGUGAGCCUACAAGCAGUGGGAGUCCGAUUCAACGGAUGACCGCGUGCCUGUUGAAGAAUGAGCCGGCGAGUUAUAGGUACUGGUAGGUUAAGUUUGUUGACGAAGCCAAAGCGAAAGCGAGUCUGAAAAGGGCGCGUUAUCAGUAUUUAUAGACCCGAACCCGGGUGAUCUAACCAUGUCCAGGAUGAAGCUUGGGUAACACCAAGUGGAGGUCCGAACCGACCGAUGUUGAAAAAUCGGCGGAUGAGGUGUGGUUAGGGGUGAAAUGCCAAUCGAACUCGGAGCUAGCUGGUUCUCCCCGAAAUGUGUUGAGGCGCAGCGGUAACGGAAAAACUGAGGGGUAAAGCACUAUUUCGGUGCGGGCUGGGAGACCGGUACCAAAUCGAGAUAAACUCUGAAUACUCAGUGGAGAGUUACCAGUGAGACGGUGGGGGAUAAGCUUCAUCGUCAAGAGGGAAACAGCCCAGACCACCAGCUAAGGUCCCGAAAUCAUCGCUAAGUGGCAAAGGAGGUGGGAGUGCAAAGACAACCAGGAGGUUUGCCUAGAAGCAGCCAUCCUUGAAAGAGUGCGUAAUAGCUCACUGGUCAAGCGCUCCUGCGCCGAAAAUGAAUGGGACUAAGCGAUGUACCGAAGCUGUGGAUUUAGCAAGCCAUCAUUUAGCAUACAGCCUCUUUUGGAAGACAGAGGGAGAGAGUGAGAGAGUGAGAGAGUGAGGGAACGAAGAAUAGUUCCUCCCUCCCUCCCUCCCUCCUUCACUCCCUCGCUCCGCUCCAGAAGGUUGCAUGCUAAGUGAUGAGAUUGUUAACUGGUAGGGGAGCGUUCCGUGGUAGGUAGAAGCAGUAGCGGCAAGCAGCUGUGGACGAGACGGAAGUGAGAAUGUCGGCUUGAGUAGCGCAAACUAGGGUAAGAAUCCCUAGCCCCGAAACCCCAAGGGUUCCAGAGGCAGGUUCGUCCACUCUGGGUUAGUCGGGACCUAAGGCGAGGCCGAAAGGCGUAGUCGAUGGACAGAGGGUGAACAAUCCCUCACUUUGAUGUGGGAGUCAACGUAAGACGCAUGAAAGAUAGCAACGCCCUGAAUGGAUUGGGAGGUGUCUAAGGAUGCCGAGUUGUAAAUGAUAGUGCCAAGAAAAGCUACGUUGGUGAUGAAAACAUCAAACCCGUACUCGAAACCGACACAGGUGGGGAAGUUGAGAAAACUCAGGGGCGCGAGAUAACUCUCUCUAAGGAACUCGGCAAAAUGGCCCCGUAACUUCGGAAGAAGGGGUGCCCACGCAAGUGGGUCGCAGUGAAGAGAUCCAGGCGACUGUUUACCAAAAACACAGGUCUCCGCAAACAAGCAAUUGGAAGUAUGGGGGCUGACGCCUGCCCAGUGCCGGAAGGUUAAGGAAGUUGGUCAGGGGGAAACCCUAAAGCUGACGACUGAAGCCCCGGUGAACGGCGGCCGUAACUAUAACGGUCCUAAGGUAGCGAAAUUCCUUGUCGGGUAAGUUCCGACCCGCACGAAAGGCGUAACGAUCUGGAUGGUGUCUCAGAGAGAGACUCGGCGAAAUAGGAAUGUCUGUGAAGAUACGGACUACCUGCACCAGGACAGAAAGACCCUAUGAAGCUUUACUGUAGUCUGGAAUUGGGUCCGGGCUUGGCUUGCGCAGGAUAGGUGGGAGGCACUGAAGUAUCCCUUGUGGGGGAUACCGAGCCAACGGUGAGAUACCACUCUGGCGAAGCUAGGAUUCUAACCCACGAUUGUCUAUCCAAUCGGGAGACAGUUUCAGAUGGGCAGUUUGACUGGGGCGGUCGCCUCCUAAAAGGUAACGGAGGCGCACAAAGGUUCCCUCAGCACGCUUGGAAACCGUGCGUUGAGUGUAAAGGCAAUAAGGGAGCUUGACUGUAAGAGCUACAACUCGAACAGGGUGGAAACACGGUCUUAGUGAUCCGACGGCGCAGUAUGGAAUGGCCGUCGCUCAACGGAUAAAAGUUACUCUAGGGAUAACAGGCUGAUCUCCCCCAAGAGUCCACAUCGACGGGGAGGUUUGGCACCUCGAUGUCGGCUCAUCGCAACCUGGGGCGGAAGUACGUCCCAAGGGUUGGGCUGUUCGCCCAUUAAAGCGGUACGUGAGCUGGGUUCAGAACGUCGUGAGACAGUUCGGUCCAUAUCCGGUGCAGGCGCAAGAGCAUUGAGAGGAGUCCUCCUUAGUACGAGAGGACCGGGAGGAACGCACCGCUGGUGUACCAGUUAUCACGCCCGUGGUAGACGCUGGGUAGCCAAGUGCGGAGCGGAUAACCGCUGAAAGCAUCUAAGUGGGAAGCCCACCUCAAGAUGAGUGCUCUGACUACUACAAGUAGGUAAGGUCACAGGUAGAACACCUGUUCAUAGGCAGUCGGUGUACGUGCAGUAAUGUACUUAGCCAAGUUGUCCUAACAGACCGAGGUCUUGACCUC